rnacentral:rRNA from 1 species
GACGAACGCUGGCGGCGUGCUUAACACAUGCAAGUCGAACGGAAAGGCCUUUUCGGAGGUACUCGAGUGGCGAACGGGUGAGUAACACGUGGGUGAUCUGCCCUGCACUCUGGGAUAAGCCUGGGAAACUGGGUCUAAUACCGGAUAGGACCGCACUUUAGUGUGUGUGGUGGAAAGUUUUUUCGGUGUAGGAUGAGCCCGCGGCCUAUCAGCUUGUUGGUGGGGUAAUGGCCUACCAAGGCGGCGACGGGUAGCCGGACUGAGAGGUUGGUCGGCCACAUUGGGACUUGGAUACGGCCCAGACUCCUACGGGAGGCAGCAGUGGGGAAUAUUGCACAAUGGGCGCAAGCCUGAUGCAGCGACGCCGCGUGGGGGAUGACGGCCUUCGGGUUGUAAACUCCUUUCGCCAGGGACGAAGCGUUUUGUGACGGUACCUGGAGAAGAAGCACCGGCUAACUACGUG